UGGAAACUNUCUGACUUGAGUGCAGAAGGGGAGAGUGGAAUUCCAUGUGUAGCGGUGAAAUGCGUAGAUAUAUGGAGGAACACCAGUGGCGAAAGCGGCUCUCUGGUCUGUCACUGACGCUGAGGCUCGAAAGCGUGGGUAGCGAACAGGAUUAGAUACCCUGGUAGUNCACGCCGUAAACGAUGAGUGCUAGGUGUUAGGCCCUUUCCGGGGCUUAGUGCCGGAGCUAACGCAAUAAGCACUCCGCCUGGGGAGUACGACCGCAAGGUUGAAACUCAAAGGAAUUGACGGGGGCCCGCACAAGCGGUGGAGCAUGUGGUUUAAUUCGAAGCAACGCGAAGAACCUUACCAGGUCUUGACAUCCCGAUGCUAUUCUUAGAGAUAGGAAGUUACUUCGGUACAUCGGAGACAGGUGGUGCAUGGUUGUCGUCAGCUCGUGUCGUGAGAUGUUGGGUUAAGUCCCGCAACGAGCGCAACCCUUAUUGUUAGUUGCCAUCAUUAAGUUGGGCACUCUAGCGAGACUGCCGGUAAUAAACCGGAGGAAGGUGGGGAUGACGUCAAAUCAUCAUGCCCCUUAUGACCUGGGCUACACACGUGCUACAAUGGUCGGUACAACGAGUUGCGAGCCGGUGACGGCAAGCUAAUCUCUGAAAGCCGAUCUCAGUUCGGAUUGGAGGCUGCAACUCGCCUCCAUGAAGUCGGAAUCGCUAGUAAUCGCGGAUCAGCACGCCGCGGUGAAUACGUUCCCGGGCCUUGUACACACCGCCCGUCACACCACGAGAGUUUGUAACACCCGAAGUCGGUGAGGUAACCUUUUAGGGNCC
rnacentral:rRNA from 1 species